GAUGAAGAACGCAGCGAAAUGCGAUAAGUAAUGUGAAUUGCAGAAUUCAGUGAAUCAUCGAAUCUUUGAACGCACAUUGCGCCCCCUGGUAUUCCGGGGGGCAUGCCUGUUCGUGCGUCAUUUCAACCCUCAAGCUCUGCUUGGUAUUGAGUCCAUGUCAGCAAUGGCAGGCUCCAAAAUCAGUGGCGGCGCCGCUGGGUCCUGAACGUAGUAAUAUCUCUCGUUACAGGUGCUCGGCGUGCUUCUGCCAAAACCCCAAUUUUUCUAUGGUUGACCUCGGAUCAGGUAGGGAUACCCGCUGAACUUAAGCAUAUCAAUAAGCGGAGGA
rnacentral:misc_RNA from 1 species